CGCCGACUACGCUCGUAGAAGCUCAUCGUCGAAUUCUUCGGACGCGGGUUCGAUUCCCGCCAUCUCCACAC
rnacentral:tmRNA from 1 species